CAAGUCUCAUCAGAAAAUGAUAAAUCUGCCAGACUGAUCUGAGUUCCAGCCUGUACAAAAAUAAAGGGACAAGUCUGAAGUUCUUUUCCGACACCUUGGAAAAAUGUAUCCUGAGAAGCACAAAGCAAUUAACAGCAAGCUUUCAAGCUACAGUGCCCUAAAUUCACCUGUCUCAUAUAUGGAAGAAUACUAAAACAGACGUCAAUACCCAAAUACACUAGAAAUGAGUUUCUCUUGUUCAAAUCCUGAGUUGAAUUAAAAGUCUUGACUUUAAUAAAAGCUUUAUUGAAAGUGA